UUGAGAGCUAAAUUUGAAAAUAAAAACAAGAAAGGGAGUAAAUUAAAACACGUGUAACAGAAGGAGGACUGAAAAAACAAUUUACCCAAACCACCCAAAGCAUUGCGCAACAUUGUAUUAAAUCAAAACAUUAAUAAUGUUUCAUGGAAAAAUUUGAAAACAAACAACAAUAAUUUUGAAAUGGUGGGAUAAAAUGGAAGGAUUAAAAGCGUAAAUAACCCAUCAGUACUUAAAACCCUUUUCAAUCUCAAAUUUAAACGCUAUUCUGCAGCAGCAAUAGCUUUAAAAACUAUUUCAUCUUCUUCCCAACUCUUCACGCCAAAACCCCCUCCCCUUUUAACUUCGAUUUGGACAAAGCGAAGAAAACUAUGCCGACGGCGCGCCUCUGCUGGUAAGAAUCUCCUCCCUUUCUUUUACUUUUCGUUUUAUUUUAAAAAAAUGAAGUAAAAUACCAAAGAAAAAGAUGAGACCAAAAAAACAGAAAAAGUAAAAAGACUUGGAAAGAACAAAAAUCACCUUCAAAAAUUUGUUUUUUUUUCUGAUUCUUUUUUUCGUAUUUCAGUCUUUUUCAAUAUAUGUGUGUAACCCCCUCUUACAAAAAUCGAUUGACUUUAUAGCCAAUCUUUACCGGAAAGCAUCCACUAAAUUUCCCCCCUUUUUUUCUGUAUAUUCGAUCCUAUAAUGCUGUUUAUGGUUUAUUGCAGGUGAAGAACGUGCAUGGUGGGUGUGGGGAAUUGCUGAACGUGGGUGGAAACCGUUGCCAUGUCGUGGGCAGUUGCUGCGGCACCGAUUUGCUUCAAUCUGCUUAGGGUUUCUGCUAUACCCUAUGUUCUUUUGGGCUAACAGGCUAGGGCUAGCAAUUUGGGCCUUAUUAGGCCGAAUUUGGGUUGUAAUAUGGACUCCCACUUAGUUUUAUUUCAAAUUGGGUUUUAAUGGGCCCGGGCAAAAUUGGGUAUUACAACGGUGAUAUUAGAUAUUAUAGCGAUACUAUAGCGUGAGAUAAAAAAAAUAAACGGGCCACACUGAAGUAAAUGCCCAUCCAAAGGAACCCUAACAAAAUUCAAUGUAUCAAUUAAGUUUGUUAUAACUAAUUUUUGUUCAUCUCUAUUAAUAUUUUAUUGGAGUAGCUUACGAGGUUAAUCAAGUUUUUUUUUAUCAAAAAGAAAAGAAAAAAACUCCAACGGGAACUCAAGCACAACCAAUCAAGUUUGAAGAUGAAUAUGAAAAUUGAGUUUUUUUUUAUUAGGUAAACAAGCUUAAUCGAACUAGCUCAAGCGCUUUAAUUUUAAUAUUUAUUUGACCUUUAAUUUUAA
rnacentral:lncRNA from 1 species